AAUACAUGCAAGUCGAGCGGACCGACGGGAGCUUGCUCCCUUAGGUCAGCGGCGGACGGGUGAGUAACACGUGGGUAACCUGCCUGUAAGACUGGGAUAACUCCGGGAAACCGGGGCUAAUACCGGAUGCUUGAUUGAACCGCAUGGUUCAAUCAUAAAAGGUGGCUUUCAGCUACCACUUACAGAUGGACCCGCGGCGCAUUAGCUAGUUGGUGAGGUAACGGCUCACCAAGGCGACGAUGCGUAGCCGACCUGAGAGGGUGAUCGGCCACACUGGGACUGAGACACGGCCCAGACUCCUACGGGAGGCAGCAGUAGGGAAUCUUCCGCAAUGGACGAAAGUCUGACGGAGCAACGCCGCGUGAGUGAUGAAGGUUUUCGGAUCGUAAAACUCUGUUGUUAGGGAAGAACAAGUACCGUUCGAAUAGGGCGGCACCUUGACGGUACCUAACCAGAAAGCCACGGCUAACUACGUGCCAGCAGCCGCGGUAAUACGUAGGUGGCAAGCGUUGUCCGGAAUUAUUGGGCGUAAAGCGCGCGCAGGCGGUUUCUUAAGUCUGAUGUGAAAGCCCCCGGCUCAACCGGGGAGGGUCAUUGGAGACUGGGGAACUUGAGUGCAGAAGAGGAGAGUGGAAUUCCACGUGUAGCGGUGAAAUGCGUAGAGAUGUGGAGGACACCAGUGGCGAAGGCGACUCUCUGGUCUGUAA
rnacentral:rRNA from 1 species